GGGCCCGCACAAGCGGUGGAGUAUGUGGUUUAAUUCGAUGCAACGCGAAGAACCUUACCAGGGUUUGACAUCCUGCGAAUCUCUUGGAAACGAGAGAGUGCCUUCGGGAACGCAGUGACAGGUGGUGCAUGGCUGUCGUCAGCUCGUGUCGUGAGAUGUUGGGUUAAGUCCCGCAACGAGCGCAACCCACGUCGUUAGUUGCCAGCAUUUAGUUGGGCACUCUAGAGAGACUGCCGGUGAUAAACCGGAGGAAGGUGUGGAUGACGUCAAGUCAUCAUGCCCCUUACAUCCUGGGCUACACACGUGCUACAAUGGUACAGACAGAGGGCAGCCACCUGGCGACAGGGAGCG
rnacentral:rRNA from 1 species